rnacentral:rRNA from 1 species
GAUCCUGGCUCAGGAUGAACGCUGGCGGCGUGCUUAACACAUGCAAGUCGAACGGACGAUGAAGAGCUUGCUUUUCAGAGUUAGUGGCGGACGGGUGAGUAACGCGUGGGUAACCUGCCUCAUACAGGGGGAUAGCAGGCUGGAAACGGCUGAUAAACCGCAUAACGCGCACAGCAUCGCAUGAUGCAAGUGUGAAAAACUCCGGUGGUAUGAGAUGGACCCGCGU